rnacentral:rRNA from 1 species
CCUACGGGGGGCAGCAGUGAGGAAUAUUGGUCAAUGGGCGCGAGCCUGAACCAGCCAAGUAGCGUGAAGGAUGACUGCCCUACGGGUUGUAAACUUCUUUUAUAAAGGAAUAAAGUGAGGCACGUGUGCCUUUUUGUAUGUACUUUAUGAAUAAGGAUCGGCCAACUCCGUGCCAGCAGCCGCGGUAAUACGGAGGAUCCGAGCGUUAUCCGGAUUUUUUGGGUUUAAAGGGAGCGUAGGUGGGUUGUUAAGUUAGUCGUGAAAGUUUGCGGCUCAACCGUAAAAUUGCAAUUGAAACUGGCGGCCUUGAGUACAGUUGAGGUAGGCGGAAUUCGUGGUGUAGCGGUGAAAUGCUUAGAUAUCACGAAGAACUCCGAUUGCGAAGGCAGCUUACUAAACUGCCACUGACGUUGAUGCUCGAAAGUGUGGGUAUCGAACAGGAUUAGAUACCCUUGUAGUC